UGAAAUAAGCUUGCCCCUUUCAACUCCUGAUCUGAAAGAAUUUGAAUUGAGGAUUGAUAAGAACCGGAAUCAAAAGAAAGAAUCAGAAUUAGAAUCAGAAUCAUAAAAAUCCAAACA